AAAUGACCUAAACAACAGCGGACCGGUCAUGUGGGACUGCUAUGUUUGCCGCCACCAAGUGUCUCAAAAGUUUCCCAUUGUUGGAAGUUUCUUCCUCCUUUUGGUUUUACAGAUGUGAAAGCUCGGCAAAUCAAUGGAAAAACUUGCUGUAUAACCAGUGAGUAACCUUUGGGGUCAUCUGGGUAAAUUCUCAAACUGCACAUCUCGAGUGUUAAGACUCAACCUAACAAAAUGAGUUAAAAGUCAUUGAUGCCACGUUUAGAGUUCAAGGCCUAUAUCUUGUUCAAGUAAAACCAAUAUUAGGCACCCCCAAUAUUUCUCACCCAGAAAAUGUCCAUUCGCAUCAGAGUUCUGAACUGAGUAACAAACAAAAGCUGAUUUUAUUUUCUAAUACAAACUAAAAUAUAAAUUACUUUGACAAUAACCAUCUGACCCACUCUGCUUUGACUCUGACAUUAAAGUUGGCAAUCAUCCAGUGAGAGAGACUGAUGCACAUGUACAUGUAUGUCAACUAACUACAGAAAUUUUUGAAUGACUUUGGCAUCCCAUGAAGUGGCAGUUUGUGAGAUUUGGUAGUAAAAAACACGGACAAGCCCAUUUUGCGGUAUUGUGAGGAAUUCAGGACAAAAAGGGAGAGUGGGGAAUGUUACACCGUACAGCCCAGCUACCGUUGCUUUUCACAGGCUUUGAUGUUCCUGAAAGGGUCUAAGAUGCAGCACUGCAUGCUGGGAAAGGACUAAUGCUAUACUGCUCAGACUGCUGAUUUACCCAGGGACAAAAGGGCAAGACAAAUAUCGGCAUUUGGUGAGUAAAACAAGUUGUUUAUUGUUGGAAAAAGCUGCUGAUCAAACUGACCAGAACGUAAAAGCAUUGCAGAUGCACAUGCUCACGUAUAUAUCAGGGAAAGCCCACAUUUUGGUGAAAUAUUGGUCAGGAAAGUAGGGAUACUGUACACAGUGUAAUGUGUCAGCAUGGUUAAUAGAUCAUCAAUCAUGGCAGUUAAUUUAAGCCCACUGUGUACUUGCACCAUGACAAGUGGGUUCCUUAGUUUAAGGCCAUGAGACU